rnacentral:rRNA from 1 species
CUAAGUAUAAGCAAUUAUACCGCGAAACUGCGAAUGGCUCAUUAUAUAAGUUAUCGUUUAUUUGAUAGCACAUUACUACUUGGAUAACCGUGGUAAUUCUAGAGCUAAUACAUGCUAAAAAUCCCGACUCCGGAAGGGAUGUAUUUAUUAGAUUAAAAACCGAUGCCCUCUGGGCUUACAGGUGAUUCAUGAUAACUUCUCGAAUCGCAUGGCCUUGCGCCGGCGAUGGUUCAUUCAAAUUUCUUCCCUAUCAACUUUCGAUGCGAAGGUCUUGUCUUCGCAUGGUUACAACGGGUAACGGAGGGUUAGGGCUCGAUCCCGGAGAAGGAGCCUGAGAAACGGCUACUACAUCCAAGGAAGGCAGCAGGCGCGCAAAUUACCCAAUCCCGACACGGGGAGGUAGUGACAAAAAAUACUGAUACAGGGCUCUUUUGGGUCUUGUAAUUGGAAUGAGUACAAUUUAAAUCCCUUAACGAGGAACAAUUGGAGGGCAAGUCUGGUGCCAGCAGCCGCGGUAAUUCCAGCUCCAAUAGCGUAUAUUAAAGUUGUUGUGGUUAAAAAGCUCGUAGUUGAACCUUGGGCCUGGCUGGCCGGUCCCCCUCACCGGGUGCACUGAUCCAGCCGGGUCUUUCCCUCUAUGGAACCCCAUGGCCUUCACUGGUCGUGGCGGGGAAGUAGGACUUUUACUUUGAAAAAAUUAGAGUGCUCCAGGCAGGCCUAUGCUCGAAUACAUUAGCAUGGAAUAAUAGAAUAGGACGCGUGGUUCUAUUUUGUUGGUUUCUAGGACCGCCGUAAUGAUUAAUAGGGACAGUCGGGGGCAUCAGUAUUCAAUUGUCAGAGGUGAAAUUCUUGGAUCUAUUGAAGACUAACUACUGCGAAAGCAUUUGCCAAGGAUGUUUUCAUUGAUAAGGAACGAAAGUUAGGGGAUCGAAGACGAUCAGAUACCGUCGUAGUCUUAACUAUAAACUAUGCCGACUAGGGAUCGGACGAUGUUAUUUUUUGACUCGUUCGGCACCUUUCGAGAAAUCAAAGUGCUUGGGCUCCAGGGGGAGUA